rnacentral:rRNA from 1 species
CCUAUAAGACUGGGAUAACUUCGGGAAACCGGAGCUAAUGCCGGAUAACAUUUGGAACCGCAUGGUUCUAAAGUAAAAGAUGGUUUUGCUAUCACUUAUAGAUGGACCCGCGCCGUAUUAGCUAGUUGGUAAGGUAACGGCUUACCAAGGCAACGAUACGUAGCCGACCUGAGAGGGUGAUCGGCCACACUGGAACUGAGACACGGUCCAGACUCCUACGGGAGGCAGCAGUAGGGAAUCUUCCGCAAUGGACGAAAGUCUGACGGAGCAACGCCGCGUGAGUGAUGAAGGUUUUCGGAUCGUAAAACUCUGUUAUUAGGGAAGAACAAAUGUGUAAGUAACUGUGCACAUCUUGACGGUACCUAAUCAGAAAGCCACGGCUAACUACGUGCCAGCAGCCGCGGUAAUACGUAGGUGGCAAGCGUUAUCCGGAAUUAUUGGGCGUAAAGCGCGCGUAGGCGGUUUCUUAAGUCUGAUGUGAGAGCCCACGGCUCAACCGUGGAGGGUCAUUGGAAACUGGGAAACUUGAGUACAGAAGAGGAAAGUGGAAUUCCAUGUGUAGCGGUGAAAUGCGCAGAGAUAUGGAGGAACACCAGUGGCGAAGGCGACUUUCUGGUCUGUAACUGACGCUGAUGUGCGAAAGCGUGGGGAUCAAACAGGAUUAGAUACCCUGGUAGUCCACGCCGUAAACGAUGAGUGCUAAGUGUUAGGGGGGUUUCCGCCCCUUAGUGCUGCAGCUAACGCAUUAAGCACUCCGCCUGGGGAGUACGACCGCAAGGUUGAAACUCAAA